rnacentral:rRNA from 1 species
AUACGGAGGGUGCAAGCGUUGUCCGGAUUUAUUGGGUUUAAAGGGUGCGUAGGUGGUUUUUUAAGUCAGUGGUGAAAGCCUACAGCUUAACUGUAGAGGUGCCAUUGAAACUGGGAAACUUGAGUAUGGACGAGGUAGGCGGAAUUUGUGGUGUAGCGGUGAAAUGCAUAGAUACCACAAAGAACACCGAUAGCGAAGGCAGCUUACUAGGCCAUAACUGACACUGAGGCACGAAAGUGUGGGGAGCGAACAGGAUUAGAAACCCCAGUAGUCC